rnacentral:ncRNA from 2 species
AGCACGCAUGACGGGUGUUCGAGGCUUCACUGUCAAGUGGACCUCGUUCUGAGAAAUUACCGUUAUAACUUGAUCUGGACAAUACCAGCGAAAGGACAUGCCUGCCUCGUUUC